GACGAACGCUGGCGGCGUGCCUAACACAUGCAAGUCGAGCGAAUGAAGUUCCUUCGGGAACGGAUUUAGCGGCGGACGGGUGAGUAACACGUGGGCAACCUGCCUCAUAGAGGGGAAUAGCCUUCCGAAAGGGAGAUUAAUACCGCAUAAGAUUGUAGUACCGCAUGGUACAGCAAUUAAAGGAGCAAUCCGCUAUGAGAUGGGCCCGCGGCGCAUUAGCUAGUUGGUGAGGUAACGGCUCACCAAGGCGACGAUGCGUAGCCGACCUGAGAGGGUGAUCGGCCACAUUGGGACUGAGACACGGCCCAGGCUCCUACGGGAGGCAGCAGUGGGGAAUAUUGCACAAUGGGGGAAACCCUGAUGCAGCAACGCCGCGUGAGUGAUGACGGCCUUCGGGUUGUAAAGCUCUGUCUUCAGGGACGAUAAUGACGGUACCUGAGGAGGAAGCCACGGCUAACUACGUGCCAGCAGCCGCGGUAA
rnacentral:rRNA from 1 species